rnacentral:tRNA from 1 species
GAGGAUUUAGCUUAAUAAAAG